CCUACGGGAGGCAGCAGUGAGGAAUAUUGGUCAAUGGGCGAGAGCCUGAACCAGCCAAGUCGCGUGAAGGAUGACGGCCCUAUGGGUUGUAAACUUCUUUUGUCAGGGAGCAAUUGAGUCCACGUGUGGUCUUAGCGAGAGUACCUGAAGAAAAAGCAUCGGCUAACUCCGUGCCAGCAGCCGCGGUAAUACGGAGGUUGCGAGCGUUAUCCGGAUUUAUGGGGUUUAAGGGGUGCGUAGGCGGAAUAUCAAGUCAGCGGUAAAAAUUCGGGGCUCAACCCCGUCGUGCCGUUGAAACUGGUGUUCUUGAGUGGGCGGGAAGUAUGCGGAAUGCGUGGUGUAGCGGUGAAAUGCAUAGAUAUCACGCAGAACUCCGAUUGCGAAGGCAGCAUACCGGCGCCCAACUGACGCUGAAGCACGAAGGCGUGGGUAUCGAACAGGAUUAGAUACCCGAGUAGUC
rnacentral:rRNA from 1 species